rnacentral:lncRNA from 1 species
GACCGAGCUGUCCAGUGCAGCGGGGAAAGAGCAGGGCUGUGACUAAUCCCCUGGCAUGCUCUGCUAGCCAAGGGCUUCAGAAUGCAAAACCAGACAUCCCAAGAGCAGCCUGUGCAUUAUAAGGCUGUCCCCCACCAACCCUGGACAGUGAACAAGAUUGAAGACAGAUCUGUGUCGAUCUUGAGUGCUGUUGGGAAUAAAUGCCCAGCAUGAAGCUGACAAGAGUGGCCACCGGGCUGGACCAACUUCAACCAAGGGCAAAGUUUUGAGUGCUACAUCUGCUCCUGUGGGCUUCCCCUCCUUCAGGCCCCAACCCCAUCUCUGCCUGUGCUGUUUCAUGAGAUUACUCCCUGCCUGUCCUCUGGCCUGGCUUGCCUUGGGAAUUGCCUUGGAUCCCCAUCUUUAGGCUCCAAUUAGUAUCUGUUACAGACAUCACGAGUGGCUCUGUUCCAGUCCUUGCUCACGCUUAUUUCCCCCACUAAGCUCUCUGUUUGGUGCCAACCAUCUUUUCUCCAUUCCUAGGGAAUGUAAGUCCUAUGGAGUGGGGUGAGAGACAGAGGACAGGAGCUGAGCGCCCAAGCCAUGACCUCGCCCGAUGGAUCUCUCCCAAACCUGCUCUAUACUGUACCAUAGGAAGACUGGGAUAAUCAGAAGCCAAGCAGACUGACUGGUCACAUUGUGCUGGGCUUCACAGUCCCCUUAUUUAUAACCCUUAGUUUACAGGUGACAAAAUAUAGUUAGAAGGCCUGUGAGAUAGCUUAAUGGGUGACAGGGCUUGGCAUGAAGGCCUUGACAAUCUGAGUUCAAUCCUUAGGUCCCAACUUGGAAGGGG